GACCGAUGAUCUGACUGAAUCAUUUGUUAAUCCAUUUUUUGAUGUAUUAAAUAAUUUAUUUUGUUUUGGUUUGGGUUUAGUAGAUAAUAAUAUAUGGGAGAAUAAACAAGUAAUCCAAGUGAAUAAAUUAAAAUAUAUGUUUGAACAGUUGUAUAAAACAAUUGGUACGCUGUUAAUAGUUGAUCAACAAAUUAUUCAUUCACCAACAGACAUGUUUCAAUUUGUAUCUUAUAACAACUAUUUUUGGUAUAUAUUAUAUAAACAGUACAACUUAUUUUUAACACACUACGACAUAACAAAAAAAAACAAUUGUCAUCUUUUUAAUUUUUAUUUAUACCAUUUUUUUAAUUAUGUAUUUGAGUUUCCUUUAGAUAACUUUUUUAAAAUACAAAAUAGAUUACCUACACAUAUGGAAAUACUAGUGGAACAGUUAUUUGAGAAGUUGCAUUUUUUAAAUAAAAAUGACAAAACAUUAUUUAAAAUUAUUUUACGUUUUUUAUUACAAAAAAAAAAUCAUUUUUACAAUUAUUUUUAUAAUUCCCAAUCGGCUAUAUUAAUGUUUAACGUUAUUAUCUCUUAUAACAAUGUCUGUUUGAAUAGUGCUAAAGAUGAGUUGUUUUCGGAUACGUACACACCGUUGAAUCAUUAUGAAGCUAGAGUGAUGAAUAUUUUUAACAGUACAUGUUUAAAAACUGAAAAGGGACUGCAACAGGGUAAUGUGUAUACGGAACAGAAGCAGAAACAGAAACAGGAAACGGACGAACCAAGCGAAACAAAUGGAACAACCGAACCAAAUGGAACAAAUGGAACAAAUGGAACAAAUGGAACAAAUGGAACAAAUGGAACACAUGGAACAAAUGGAACAAAUGGAACAAAUGGAACAAAUGGAAUAAAUGGAAUAAACGAACCGAGCAACAUCUACAAAAAUGUACUAGCCUGUUUAAACAAUGACGACAUUUCAGCCAAAACAGAAUACAUAAACGUAAUAAAGACUACCAAAUCGUUUUAUUUAAAUAAUACAUUAUACAAUUUGAAUUAUAUGAUUGAUUCAGAUUACCCAAACAGAUUUGUGAACUAUCAUAAUUCGAACAUAAAUAGCAAAGUGUUUUACAAUUUUUAUAAUAAAC
rnacentral:lncRNA from 1 species